UACGUAGGGUGCGAGCGUUGUCCGGAAUUAUUGGGCGUAAAGGGCUCGUAGGCGGUUUGUCGCGUCGGGAGUGAAAUCCACUGGCUUAACUGGUGGCUUGCUUUCGAUACGGGCAGACUGGAGGUAUGCAGGGGAGAACGGAAUUCCCAGUGUAGCGGUGAAAUGCGUAGAUAUUGGGAGGAACACCAGUGGCGAAGGCGGCUCACUGGACCGGAACUGACGCUGAGGCGCGAAAGCGUGGGGAGCAAACGGG
rnacentral:rRNA from 1 species